rnacentral:rRNA from 1 species
UGAGGAAUAUUGGUCAAUGGGCGCAAGCCUGAACCAGCCAUCCCGCGUGCAGGAUGACGGCCCUAUGGGUUGUAAACUGCUUUUAUACACCAAGAAAAACAUCUACGUGUAGAUGCCUGACGGUAGUGUAUGAAUAAGCAUCGA